rnacentral:rRNA from 1 species
GAUGAACGCUGGCGGCGUGCUUAACACAUGCAAGUCGAACGAUGAACCUCACUUGUGGGGGGAUUAGUGGCGAACGGGUGAGUAACACGUGAGUAACCUGCCCUUGACUCUGGGAUAAGCCUGGGAAACCGGGUCUAAUACUGGAUACGACCUUCUGGCGCAUGCCAUGUUGGUGGAAAGCUUUUGUGGUUUUGGGUGGACUCGCGGCCUAUCAGCUUGUUGGUGGGGUAAUGGCGUACCAGGGCGACGCCGGGUAGCCGGCCGGAGAGGGUGAGCGGCGACACUGGGACUGAGAGGCGGCCCGGAAUCCCACGGGAGGCAGCAGUGGGGAAUAUUGCAGAAUGGGCGCAAGCCGGAUGAAGCGACGCGGAGUGAGGCAUGAAGGGGUUCGAGGUGUAAACCUCUUUAAGCAGGGAAGAAGCCGGCUUUUGCGUUGGUGACGGUAUCUGCAGAAGAAGCGCCGGCUAACUACGUG